rnacentral:lncRNA from 1 species
AAGAGAGCCGGCGGAGCCACCACACCCGGAAAGCCCACCACCGGUAGGUUUCAAUUUUCUAAUUUUUUUCAGCUAACCGAGACUCUCUAACGUAUUUUUUUACAGGGAUACAUGUAAAAUCGGCAAAAAUUAGCCUAAACCGACAGAAAACGACCAGACCGAGGCAAACAGCUACCGUGGGUGGCGGGCCGUUGUCGAAGCACGGCGGCAGCGGUGCCGGAAUCUCAAAAUUGGCCG